GACGAACGCUGGCGGCGUGCUUAACACAUGCAAGUCGAACGGAAAGGCCCUGCUUUUGUGGGGUGCUCGAGUGGCGAACGGGUGAGUAACACGUGAGUAACCUGCCCUUGACUUUGGGAUAACUUCAGGAAACUGGGGCUAAUACCGGAUAGGAGCUCCUGCUGCAUGGUGGGGGUUGGAAAGUUUCGGCGGUUGGGGAUGGACUCGCGGCUUAUCAGCUUGUUGGUGGGGUAGUGGCUUACCAAGGCUUUGACGGGUAGCCGGCCUGAGAGGGUGACCGGCCACAAUGGGACUGAGAUACGGCCCAGACGCCUACGGGAGGCAGCAGUGGGGAAUAUUGCACAAUGGGCCGAAGCCUGAUGCAGCAACGCCGCGUGCGGGAUGACGGCCUUCUGGGUGUAAACCGCUGUCGCCUGUGACGAAGCGUGAGUGACGGUAAUGGGUAAAGAAGCACCGGCUAACUACGUG
rnacentral:rRNA from 1 species